rnacentral:misc_RNA from 1 species
UUGACGCUUUGACGUUUGGGAGCCCAUAGGCGAGUCACGGAUCAAAGUAGCUCUCUGAUUAGCAGACACCGAAUAACACUUCUGCUAGAAAAUGACAGAGAGUCAAGUUCGUCAGAAUUUUCACAAAGAUAGUGAAGAUGCCAUUAAUAAACAAAUAAAUAUGGAACUUUAUGCAAGCUAUGUGUAUUUGUCAAUGGCUUACUACUUUGAUCGUGAUGAUGUUGCGUUACCUGGUCUACACAAGUACUUUAAGCAAGCAUCAGAGGAAGAAAGAGAGCAUGCUACAAAGUUUAUGAAAUACAUGAAUAAGCGUGGAGGUCGAAUUGUUCUCAGCUGUAUUAAUGCUCCAGAUUACAACGAGUGGGGAACAGCAGAAGGUGCAAUGCGUGAAGCAUUGCAGCUGGAGAAAAAAGUAAACCAGAGUCUCUUGGAUCUCCACAAAAUUGCCACAGCUUAUGAUGAUGCUAAUCUUUGUGACUUCUUGGAGACAGAAUUCUUACAAGAACAAGUGGAUUCUAUUAAAGAUAUUGCAGAUAAGCUCACAAAUAUUUGCCGUGUAGGCGAAGGUUUAGGAAUUUUUGUAUUUGAUAGAGAAUUACAUUAAGAUUUAAAAUUAUCGAUCUUCACUUGCUACUGCUUUACAUUUGUGCAUCAUAGUACCUAGUCAGUUCUCAUAAAUUUCAAGCCAUACAGCUGUUCUACUGCUGCACAUUAUACUUGUCCUCAUUUCUGAGGGCUAUUGAAGUGUUUGUCAACAGCCACAAAUGUUAUUGGUAUUUUACUUUGUAGUUUUAAGUACGGCAAUUGUACAAUUAUGUAAAAACUGUUAUUUUAUUGAACAGAUUACUAUUUAUGUACAAAGAUUUUUUAUCUUUUAUAGAUUUUUAAAAUUUUAUAUUUUUAUGUUUAUAUCCUUAUAUUCCUGUCACAGAACAUAUAUUGUUUUUUAAACCUAAGGCAGUUAAUUUGGGUUCAUAAUCACAUUCCUCAGACCUGAAUGCACGCAGUUUGCUAAUCAUAUUGAGUGGGCAUGUGUAAAAUUUAAGUACCACAAUGUGCAGUUAUAAUAAACAUGCUGAUUCUCUGAAGAAACAAUCCAAUAUCUAUCUGUGAUGUUUUUGGUCUAUCUAAUUGAACUUCUUGUGUGAUCUCAACAAAUUAAAUACUUUCUCAUUUUCAUUAUGCUCUUCUGUGAAUGCAUUGAUGAAAAUGACAGCAGCCAUUUGUAUAUCUCCCUCAAAAUACUUCUUAAAAAGGUUUGUAUCAAUAUUUGAAUUAUACUUGAAUAUAAUUACAUUCCUUCCUGGAUUUUCCUUUGCUUGUUGUAAAAAGUUUUUCUUAUUUUUAUUAUUAUUAUUAUUUUAGUCUUAAUACAGAACUAUCACAUUGUUGCCCUGCAUUUAGUUUUCCCUCAGAAUUUCAUGGCAUGAACACAAUGUCUUCAUAAACUGUAAAUGGUGCCUACCUCUCAAAGCAUCAUGCCACUGUUCCUCGUGUUGUUUGCGUGUUCACUAUCUGCCAGACCAAUAAGUGACAACUAGCUAAUACAAAUAGCUCUUUUUUCCUGAAGCACAGUUUCACCCUGUUCAUCAAAAGGAACGUGCACCAGCCUUACUAUGAACACAGUGAUUACGACUUGAUUUGGCAUUCAGUGAAGUUUGAGUCGUGCUUUUAUGCUUCUGUCCUUAGUAGAACAAAUCAGAUGUUGCUACUGUCAGUUUCACUUCCACUUAUUUUUCUAGUUUAAUAUGCUCCUUCAGAGAGUCAGCGUGUGUGCGCCCACACACGAAGUGCUUGAUUUGUGCCACUAUGCCGGACCAGUAUAUGAAAAAAUAAGCAUUAAAAUAACAGUUGAAGACAUCUAAAUUUAAGAAAAAAAGGCACCCCCGAAGGUCACAGUACUUUAUAUACAUGUAUGACGACGUUUAUUUGGCUUAAUGUGACCAUAGCAUUUUUACACACGAGACUCAAUAUGACUGUCAAACUAUAUGUACUCAAGUCUGAACAUUAUUCCCAACCAAAAUUAAUUACCUGAUGAAUAAAGAAAAUAUGAUGUGUAACUGGAAUAAAAUAAUGUAGAAAUACCUUCUUAGAUCACUAGAAAAAUUUUGCUGUGAUGAUUUUGUUGCAAUUAAUGAAUAUUGUUAUGUGUGUAACUGAAAUGCAGUAUUAUUGUGUUGUUAAAUUAUUUUAGCAACAUUCAUUUUAGCUCUAGGGUCGAACAUUUAAUUUGGAAAACUAAAGAAACAAGAAAUCAUUUGACCUAAAAAUUCUUAUUCACAUUGCAAUAGCUUUAAUUUUGUAGUAUUUAUUUUAAUAGACUGGUUUCUUGCUAGAUUUAUGGUAUUUUCAUAUGUAAUAUAAUAGCAAACAGUCUCCAGUUAUAUUCAGGUUUUGUAUUCUUCUUAACGCAAAAUAACUUCAUCAUUUAUAAUUGCAAAACCACCACUCUGUGAAGUGAGCCAGUUUGUGAAAACCAAGUUACCUUCUGUCAGUCACAUAACCUCCACAUACAAGAAUGUAUCUUUAAUAGUGUAGUUGGCAAGAGUUCACACAGUAUGCCAUUAAGUGAAUAAUAUUAAACUAGAAGUUUUGAGUUCAGCAAUAAUUGCAUAAACUGAUAAUGAAUUCUUGAUCAUUACUUCAAUAUUUCUACCAUGGUUUCUUUUGUCUGUGGGAAUUUAGCUGUAAAUGUGCCAUAAUGAAGAGCUUCAUUAUAUUUAUAAUGCUAUUUAUUUUCAUUAUUUAAUAGUCCCAUGAUAUUACUGGUGAAAUUGACUGAUUCUUGAGUAAUGGCAGCUAAAUGAAAUACAUUUUUGCUUUUCUUUUAGUUUGUGUUGUGGAGAUAAUAUUCAUUACAAAGCAUGUUGAAACUGAGUACAGCUUUCUCUUUAAGAAUUAUGUGUGUGUUUGAUACUUAAUGUUUAGAAUAAGAUGUUUUAAUUACUUCCUUUUAUCACCAUCUGACAGUGUUUUUUGCUUGUAAAUGUAACUACUGUAAUGUUUUGUGCAUUCAAGACAUCUCAAAGUUACAAAGCUUCCUAUUUACAGAUAUGAACUGUGAUAUGACGUGUAUUGUUGAGGUGCUUGAUUUGCAGAGUCUGCAUAAAUAAGAGUCUGUAAAGUAUCAAGAAAAUAUGAGACAGAGUGGAGCUUGACUGUAAAGAGGUUGGCAACUGUGCGCUGUAUGUGAGGCUAUUGCUGUCUCCUGUGGUCUGCUAUGUGGAG